AUAAAUAUAACUGAUUGCUUUAACGUAAAACUGCGUUAAAUCGAUUCAAAAAAAAUACAGGCACAAUUUCAGACCGUGCAAUAACGCCAGAAAAAUUUACUAUAAAGAAUAUGUAAGCCCUAUAAGUUACUUGGAAAAGUUUAUAUUACGUGUUUUAUUUUACUAUGAUGGCUGCAAGUAAACGUGCAAAAAUCUCGGGAUAUUUUGAAUCCCUGCAGCUUCGAACCCAGACGCAUGAAAGGAAGAAACAUAUCGAUCGCACACCGAGUGCCAAAGGAACGAUACAGUAUCUUCGAUAUAAUAUUCUGCCAGAAAGAUCUUAUUUGAAAUUUCCUACAAAAGAGCGCGUUGGCGAUCCUUCGCUCAAAUAUCAUUUCUCUUUUCCAGCCUGCACGCAUUCUUUCUCUUUUUCUCUUUCUUCCUUUUUCACAGCCGGCCGUG